AUGGCAUUGCUUUUUCGCUUCAGUCAAUUGAGGAACAGCAUGUUGAGUAGUUGCCCUGCCAGGGUGCUUAUUCCAUAUGCUGGAUUGUCACCUGGAAAGUUGCUUGAUCCAAAAAGCUAUGAGAGGCGUGCUCAAGAGACAGUUAGUUUGCACAGUGCUAGCCUGGGUUCAUGUAUUUCCGGAAUUCAGCCAUUAAAGUUUCAGCAGACUUCUGAACAUGAGCCAUCUGUGCCUCUUCUUAUCUUUGAUAUUGAGACCACUGGUUAUUUCCAGAAGAUCACUGGUAAUGUCCAGAAGGGUAAUAGAAUCACUGAGUUUGCAGUCCGUGAUCUUUGUGGAGGAAAGAAUAGCACAUUUGAAACUCUCCUUAAUCCUGAGAGGGAUGUUCCUGGACACCUUGCAACUGUCAAUAACAUUAACACUGAUUUGGUGUGCAGACCUGAUGUCCCGAGGUUCAGUGAUGUACUUCCAUUACUACUGGCGUUUGUUCGAAGCCGCCAAACUCCUGGCAAACCAGUUAUAUGGGUUGCUCAUAAUGUAAAAAGAUUUGAUGGCCCUUUCCUGGCCCAAGAGUUUGACCGUUGUUCAGCUCAGAUGCCCGAAGAUUGGCUGUUUGUUGACACCCUUUGUUUGGCAAGGAAGUUGCCCAAGCUUUCGGCAUCAAAUGAUAAGAAACAUCUCCUAAACUUGGAGUCACUAUGCAAACGCUAUGAGAUCUCUGUGGAAGGCCCUUCUCAUAGAGCAAUGCAAGAUGUGAUGGCAUUAUGUCAUGUUUUUCAGAAAAUGAGUUUUGAUCUACAACUGACACAUGAAGGAUUAAUGAAUGAGGCCAUCAACGCUAGUUAUUUCAGCAAGUAUCUUAACUAA
rnacentral:rRNA from 1 species